rnacentral:ncRNA from 1 species
UGGCAAGAUAUGUGUUGUACGGGUACGGGCAAGCCCGCCCCCUAACAACACUCCCCUUAUUCGCCUGCGGCUCAACGGCAUCUUGCUCUGCGAGGCA